ACAAACUUGGUCAUUUAGAGGAAGUAAAAGUCGUAACAAGGUUUCCGUAGGUGAACCUGCGGAAGGAUCAUUAUUGAGGACAGGGCUUCCUUUUAUGGAGCCUAGAGCUUCCCACCAAUGUGUUUAUUACCUGAUUUGCUUUGGCAGCCCUAUUGGCACCAUAGCCAUGUGGCUGCCAGAGAUUUUACUGCUGAAUUAUUAUUAGUGGAUUCUGAGCAAUAUAACAACUUGAAAAACUUUCAACAACGGAUCUCUUGGUUCUGGCAUCGAUGAAGAACGCAGC
rnacentral:misc_RNA from 1 species